CUCACCAACCAGUUGUUGCAUACACUUGAAUCAUUAAACCUUAAACAUAUACCAAUGUAACCAAACAUAUCUACACAACACAUAACCACCAUGACCACACUGCACCACCGGCGGAUCCACCUCCUCUUCCACCUCUCCAUCGUGGCAGUCCUCACGCUUGGGGCGGCUUGAGUCAUUGUAGAUAGCUCUCGGAACAGCCACAGCAUGUGGCCGAGCAGCUCGAUGCUGCUGGAGUGGACAACUGGCCGUGGAUAUACGACUGCAGUUCCGAUCAAUGUAUCCGUGGAUGAGGAAAUUGAAGAGGGGUGCAAUGUGUUCCAAGGCAGCUGGAUUCGGGAUAAUGAGAGUCUUCCUCUCUAUGGAGAAGAAGAUUGUUCGUUUCUGGUGAAACAGACAACUUGCGUCAGGAAUGGAAGAUCCGAUUCCUUUUAUCAUAACUGGAGGUGGCAGCCUGACGCGUGUGAUUUGCCAAGGUUGAUGGUAUGAAGUCAAUGGAGAUGUUGAGAAACAAAAGAUUGAUGUUUGUUGGAGAUUCAGUGCAAAGAGGCAUGUUUGAGUCCAUGAUUUGUUUAGUACACUCUGCACUUCCUCGAGUUGUAAGGAGAUCCCUCCAUCGCAUACCUCCGAGGAAAGUUUUCCAGAGUCGAGGAAUUCAAUGCAUCCAUCGAGUACUAUUGGGCGGCUUUGGUAAUCGAGUCGAUAUCAGACCAUGCAACGAACCACACGGUGAUGAAACGACUAGUGAAGCUCGAUUCCGUAGCUAAGCAUAGCAAGGAGUGGGAAGGAGCUGAUGUUUUGAUUUUCUCGAGUUAUAUAUGGUGGAUGUACAAACCUACAAUCAAUGCCACGUCGUGACGUCAUUUAUAUGCAGUUUUUUUUGGGGUUCAACAUUAUGAGUAGCAAUUAUGGUUUUACAGGUACGGAUCUCUGGAUACAACGUGACAACGGCAUAUAGGUUAUAGCAAUGGAAACGUGGGCGAACUGGGUUGAUUCGCGCAUCAAUCCAGAAACCCAGAAGAUCUUCUUCUUCGCAACAUAUGGAGUUGGGAGUGGAAGCCCGGGACAGAUGGGAAGUGCUUCAACGAGACACACCCGAUUGAAGGACCGUACUGGUUCGAACCUUGACAUCAUGUAGUCGGGAGAGUAAAGGUUAAUGUUACUGUUUUGAAGAUCACCCAGUUGUCUGAAUACAGAAAAGACGGCCAUCCAUCCUUCGAUUUUCGGGGAAAGAAAGGGCAAGCUCUUAACGAAAGAACAGAGAUCCGAUCCCAAGAAUUAUGCAGAUUGCAUACAUUGGUGCUUACCCGAUACUUGGAACCACAUUUUCUACGCGCUUCUUUUACAAGAUUAUCGCGACCAAUCAAUAAUAUGACAAACUAGAAUGAUGUGAUGUGAUGUUAUGUAUUACCUUUUUUGUCCGCCGGGAAACCACUGCCUCCCUCCGGCGGAGAAGGAAUCAUCAGUAGCAAAUACAUCCACAGCCUAAUAGAGACGUCAUUGAAAAAAUGGGGAAAAAAAACUAAAAAGAAAAACGAGGAAGAAGUAUCGGCAGUGGCUGAAGCCGGGUAGAGACUAGAGUAGAGGCCAUAUCCCGCCUUAAAGAAAUGGCAAUUGGUGGUCAGCUUGUUAGAGGGAGGGCCUAAACUGGAAAUUUGAGUGUAUGUAUGUCUCUCAACUAAGCUUGUUAAUAUUUUCAUUGUCACACUGCCAUCAAUUCAUGAUACGGGGUUUUAUUCAUAUUUAAAACUAGACUAGACUUACUUGACAAUCGCUUAUUCACCCUCCUUCUCUGUCAUUUAUUUCAUAUGGCUGUAUGUAUGUAUAUGUCAUACUCCCAACUCAGUGAAGUCGGAAUGAG